UGAGAGGAUAUAAUAUUAACCGUCAGAUGAAAAUCAACGAUCGAGAUUAAAUUAAAUCUUUAAACCAAGCAAGCAUGUGAUCACUGUUCACACAAUUACUCUAAAAAAACCAGAUCUCUUCUUCUUCUUCAGUUUCUCUUCUCAGUUCUCGUAAUUAUCUCAGGUCUAAAACUACCAUGACUUCAAUUUGCUUCAAAUCAAAAUUGGACUGAAAAUAAUUCUAAAUCA
rnacentral:lncRNA from 1 species